CACCUGUAGUCGCCCGGAUUGUUCAAAAGAAAAGAUUAUUUGGCAAGUUUAGUUACUGGAGAAUGCUGCAAAGCAAUGCAAUGCAAUGGUCGUGUUUUUUACCAAGUAUACUUUGCUGCUUUAUAAAGGAAUCGCUUUGCAUAAACGGAUACAACUAGUUACGGAUGUUGAGACUGCGGUGCUAGGCGAUGAACGGGACACACCUGAUGCAGGGCCUGACGCUGCAGUCUUGCGUUCAGGAGCUGAA